rnacentral:tRNA from 1 species
GCGGUAUUAACUCAGUGACCAGAGUGCGCCCCUGUCUAGGGUGAAGUCGGGGGUUUGAAUCCCCUAUACCGCGCCA